ensembl:lncRNA
CUCUCUGUUGCUGUUCGUUCUUGUUCUGUUCUUGUUUGCUGUGGUCUCUUUGUGGCAGAAGUGUUUUUAUGUAUGGCAAUAGGCCUGUUGCUUUUUUAUGGUGAUUCCCAUUGAAAAUGGAUCGAACUUGGGUCCUUGUGCUUGUACAGCAGGCGGCAAAACCACUGAGCUAAAUCCCCGGCCCAGGACGUCUUUCAUCUAAAAGCAAUACUUCACAGAACAUGUCUUAGGCACCAUAUCAUCACUGGGACACAAUCUGCAACACCCACAACUUACAAGAGGAGAGGUUGAUAUUGGCUCACAUUUUCAGUCAUAGUCUGCUGGCUUAAGGCAGGACAGCAAGGGCAAGGGGCACAGUGGAGGAGAGCUGCUCACCUCAGGGUGGCCAGGAUGAAGAAAGACAAGAGAGAAGCUGGAGAGGGACAUACACCCUUCCAAGUCACGCCCCCAGCAACCUGCCUCUCCCAGCCAAGCCCUACCUCUUAACGGUAAGUCAGCUGUAUCACCAUCACUCAAGCACCUUCCAAAAGUUCCACCUAUGAGUGCAUGAGAUUCUGG